UCUCGAGCGUUGUUCGGAUUCAUUGGGCGUAAAGGGCGCGUAGGCGGCGGGGUAAGUCUGGUGUGAAAUCUCGGAGCUCAACUCCGAAAUUGCACUGGAUACUGCUCUGCUAGAGGGCUGGAGAGGAGAUCGGAAUUCACGGUGUAGCAGUGAAAUGCGUAGAUAUCGUGAGGAAGACCAGUGGCGAAGGCGGAUCUCUGGACAGCUCCUGACGCUGAGGCGCGAAGGCUAGGGGAGCAAACGGG
rnacentral:rRNA from 1 species